GAUGAACGCUGGCGGCGUGCUUAACACAUGCAAGUCGAACGAUGAAGCCCAGCUUGCUGGGUGGAUUAGUGGCGAACGGGUGAGUAACACGUGAGUAACCUGCCCUUAACUCUUGGAUAAGCCUGGGAAACUGGGUCUAAUACCGGAUAGGAGCGUCCACCGCAGGGUGGGUGUUGGAAAGAUUUAUCGGUUUUGGAUGGACUCGCGGCCUAUCAGCUUGUUGGUGAGGUACUGGCUCACCAAGGCGACGACGGGUAGCCGGCCUGGGAGGGUGACCGGCCACACUGGGACUGAGACACGGCCCAGACGCCUAAGGGAGGCAGCAGUGGAGAAUAUUGCACAAUGGGCGAAAGGCGGAUGGAGCGACGCCGCGUGAGGGAUGACGGCCUUCGGGUUGGAAACCUCUUACAGUAGGGAAGAAGCGAAAGUGACGGUACCUGCAGAAGAAGCACCGGCGAACUACGU
rnacentral:rRNA from 1 species